CCUACGGGUGGCAGCAGUGGGGAAUAUUGGGCAAUGGGCGCAAGCCUGACCCAGCAACGCCGCGUGAAGGAAGAAGGCUUUCGGUAUGUAAACUUCUAUCAGCAGGGAAGAAAAUGACGGUACCUGACUAAGAAGCCCCGGCUAACUACGUGCCAGCAGCCGCGGUAAUACGUAGGGGGCAAGCGUUAUCCGGAUUUACUGGGUGUAAAGGGAGCGUAGGCGGCGAUGCAAGUCAGAAGUGAAAGCCCGGGGCUCAACUCCGGGACUGCUUUUGAAACUGUAUGGCUAGAUUGCAGGAGAGGCAAGUGGAAUUCCUAGUGUAGCGGUGAAAUGCGUAGAUAUUAGGAGGAACACCAGUGGCGAAGGCGGCUUGCUGGACUGUAAAUGACGCUGAGGCUCGAAAGCGUGGGGAGCAAACAGGAUUAGAUACCCGGGUAGUC
rnacentral:rRNA from 1 species